CGAAGCUUCGGAGAGGAAAAUAGGAAGCUGCGAGAUGAUUAUGCACGUGUUGGCGUACGAGAUGCCACGAUAUCGCACGAGGGACCGUAUCCGCCGUUAGCUACAGGAAAACCAAAAACAGUCACUUUAUCAAAAGGAAAAAAGGGGAAAAAAAUGGUCUAACAAGAUGAAAGAUGUGCGCUCUCUGUACCUUUGGACUUGUGAGCUCCUACAGUCAUUGUCUGUAACUCAUAAGUGCACGAAAUAUUCUGUAAAAAAAAAUUGUUCAUCAUCUCCAGCCUGUAUUUGGAUAACUAAGAUUCUCGCUAUCUGAAAUCAAACUAACACACGGAGGGGGAAAAAAAAGCAUCCAACAGAAUGUAAAAGCCUUGCAAGUACAAUCUGGAUGUAAUAUUCCUGACUCGUUUUAAGAAGUUGCUCAUUAACUUCCUUGUUGUAAGCGACAAUACCAGACCGUAUUGUUUUUAAUGUAAAUGUGGCAGAUGAAGUAACGAUGCUCGCCUUUAUUGUCACCAGCGAUGAUGCUCGAGACUUGUGACUAAGAGCUGAUGACGAGCUGAAACUUGAACCUCCACCCGUGUCCUUUUUUUUAGAUAGUUUUUGAAUGGCAGAUGCCCUUCCUGACGCAACCUCUCUCAGCCUCAUGACCCCCGGUUUACCAAACCAAUGCUCUAACAACUUCGCUACGGGGCCUUUAGAUGACAUCCCCUUUUCGUGGGCCAACAAUCGCCGAAUUGUGCUUCCUAACCUACAGACUGGAGGUGGCCACGCCCACUCAACCGACUCGCUGGAUGGCAGCCAAGGUAUCCUGAAAGGCUAGUUGGCGGAGUUCCAUUCGUACCCUUUCCAAAACCGAAGACCCGGUACGAAAAAUGCCAAACUUUGUGGUAGACCGCAUCAUCAACUAAAUCCAUCUAAUAUCAACCGGAACACACGUUUGCACGAAGAUGCAGCAGAGCCUCCCUGGCAGAAGCUCCCACGUCUCCGAGCUGGCGUCUGAGUGAGGGGAUGAAGGAAGACAGCGCUUUGUCAUCGUCAUCGUUGCCGUCUCCUCGUGGCGGCUGCUGGACUCCGG